rnacentral:rRNA from 1 species
UGGGGAAUUUUGGACAAUGGGCGCAAGCCUGAUCCAGCCAUGCCGCGUGCGGGAAGAAGGCCUUCGGGUUGUAAACCGCUUUUGNCAGGGAAGAAAUCUUCUGAGUUAAUACCUCGGGAGGAUGACGGUACCUGAAGAAUAAGCACCGGCUAACUACGUGCCAGCAGCCGCGGUAAUACGUAGGGUGCAAGCGUUAAUCGGAAUACUGGGCGUAAAGCGUGCGCAGGCGGUUUUGUAAGACAGAGGUGAAAUCCCCGGGCUCAACCUGGGAACUGCCUUUGUGACUGCAAGGCUUGAGUGCGGCAGAGGGGGGAUGGAAUUCCGCGUGUAGCAGUGAAAUGCGUAGAUAUGCGGAGGAACACCGAUGGCGAAGGCAAUCCCCUGGGCCUGCACUGACGCUCAUGCACGAAAGCGUGGGGAGCAAACAGGAUUAGAUAGCCCUGGUAGUCCACGCCCUAAAACCGAUGUCAACUGGUUGUUGGGAAGGUUCCUUCUCAGUAACGUAGCUAACGCGUGAA